AGUGAACGCUGGCGGUAGGCCUAACACAUGCAAGUCGAACGGCAGCACAGUAAGAGCUUGCUCUUACGGGUGGCGAGUGGCGGACGGGUGAGGAAUACAUCGGAAUCUACUUUUUCGUGGGGGAUAACGUAGGGAAACUUACGCUAAUACCGCAUACGACCUACGGGUGAAAGCAGGGGAUCUUCGCACCUUGCGCGAUUGAAUGAGCCGAUGUCGGAUUAGCUAGUUGGCGGGGUAAAGGCCCACCAAGGCGACGAUCCGUAGCUGGUCUGAGAGGAUGAUCAGCAACACUGGAACUGAGACACGGUCCAGACUCCUACGGGAGGCAGCAGUGGGGAAUAUUGGACAAUGGGCGCAAGCCUGAUCCAGCAUACCGCGUGGGUGAAGAAGGCCUUCGGGUUGUAAAGCCCUUUUGUUGGGAAAGAAAAGCAGCAGGUUAAUACCCCGCUGUUCUGACGGUACCCAAAGAAUAAGCACCGGCUAACUUCGUG
rnacentral:rRNA from 1 species